rnacentral:hammerhead_ribozyme from 1 species
AUUCGGCUGAUAAGUCCCAAACAGGAUGAAAAGCGCAUCCUGAAU